GAUGAACGCUAGCUACAGGCUUAACACAUGCAAGUCGAGGGGUAGCACGGAGGAAGCUUGCUUCCUUGGGUGACGACCGGCGCACGGGUGAGUAGCGCGUAUCCUACCUACCCAUAACUCGGGCACAGCCGCUCGAAAGAGUGAUUGAUUCCCGAUAUGUCAUUAGAGUAGAUCUAAUGAUGAAAGAUUUAUCGGUUAUGGAUGGGGAUGCGUAAGAUUAGGUAGUAGGCGGGGUAACGGCCCACCUAGCCGACGCUCUUUAGGGGUUCUGAGAGGAAGGUCCCCCACACUGGUACUGAGACACGGACCAGACUCCUACGGGAGGCAGCAGUGAGGAAUAUUGGUCAAUGGGCGGAAGCCUGAACCAGCCAAGUAGCGUGAAGGAUUACAGCCCUACGGGUUUUAAACUUCUUUUAUAUAAGAGUAAUGUGCACUACGUGUAGUGUAUUGCAAGUAUUAUAUGAAUAAGCAUCGGCUAACUCCGUGCCAGCAGCCGCGGUAAUAC
rnacentral:rRNA from 1 species